rnacentral:rRNA from 1 species
CCCUUAGAUGUUCUGGGCCGCACGCGCGCUACACUGAUGCAUUCAACGAGCCUAUCCUUGACCGACAGGUCCGGGUAAUCUUUGAAUCUGCAUCGUGACGGGGAUAGAUUAUUGCAAUUAUUAAUCUUCAACGAGGAAUGCCUAGUAGGCGCAAGUCAUCAGCUUGCGCCGAUUACGUCCCUGCCCUUUGUACACACCGCCCGUCGCUCCUACCGAUUGGGUGUGCUGGUGAAAUGUUCGGAUCGGCCGUUUGUCGCGGUUUCCGCGGCUCGUGGCUGAGAAGUUCAUUAAACCCUCCCACCUAGAGGAAGGAGAAGUCGUAACA